rnacentral:rRNA from 1 species
ACAUGCCUACAACAUAGAGUUAAUGCACCGGAUCCCAUUAGAACUCCACAGUUAAGCAUGCUCAGGCUAGAGUAGUACUAGGAUGGGUGAUCGCCCAGGAAGCCCUARUGUUUUACAUGCC